AAUUGGAGAGUUUGAUUCUGGCUCAGAACGAACGCUGGCGGCGUGGUUCAGGCAUGCAAGUCGAACGAUCUCGCAAGAGAUAGUGGCGGAAGGGUUAGUAACACGUGGGUAACCUACCCUUGAGACGGGGAUAACAUUUCGAAAGAGGUGCUAAUACCCGAUGAAAUUGUUGAGUCGCAUGAUUCGACAAUCGAAGGUAGCUCGCAAGAGCUUCCACUCGAGGAGGGGCCCGCGGCCUAUCAGCUAGUUGGUGAGGUAACGGCCCACCAAGGCUUUUGACGGGUAGCUGGUCUGAGAGGACGAUCAGCAACAUUGGGACUGAGACACUGCCCAGACUCCUACGGGAGGCUGCAGUCGAGGAUCUUUAGCAAUGCCCGAAAGGGUGACUAUGCGACGCCGCGUGCAGGAUGAAGGCCUUCGGGUUGUAAACUGCUGUCAGGGGGGAAGAAACCUUGCGUGUGAAUAGCGCGUAAGCUGACAUCACCCCCAAAGGAAGCCUGAAAUCUGUAGAUAUCGAGAGGAACACCAGUGGCGAAGGCGCCUCACUGGCCGAUUACUGACACUGAGCUGCGAAAGCUAGGGGAGCAAACAGGAUUAGAUACCCUGGUAGUCCUAGCCAUAAACGAUGUGGAUUAGGUGUUGGAGGUGUCGAUCCCUCCGGCGCCGACGCUAACGCAUUAAAUCCACCACCUGGGGAGUACGGUCGCAAGACUGAAACUCAAAGAAAUUGACGGGGACCCGCACAAGCGGUGGAGCAUGUGGUUUAAUUCGAGGCUACGCGAAGAACCUUACCCAGGCUUGACAUGUUUAGGACAACGCGUGAAAGCGCGUCUUCCCGCAAGGGACCUUUACACAGGUGCUGCAUGGCUGUCGUCAGCUCGUGCUGUGAAGUGUUGGGUUAAGUCCCGCAACGAGCGCAACCUUUGUCUUUAGUUGCCAUCACGUAAUGGUGGGCACUCUAGAGAGACUGCCGGUGAUAAACUGGAGGAAGGAGGAGACGACGUCAAGUCAGUAUGGCCCUUAUGCCUGGGGCUACACACGUGCUACAAUGGCCGUGACAAUGGGCUGCAAACCCGCGAGGGGGAGCAAAUCCCAAAAAAACGGCCUCAGUUCAGAUUGAAGGCUGCAAUUCGCCUCCAUGAAGUCGGAAUCGCUAGUAAUGGUAGAUCAGCUACGCUACCGUGAAUACGUUCCCGGGUCUUGUACACACCGCCCGUCAAGCCACCUGAGUUGGGAGCACCCUAAGUCGUUAACCUAACCCGCAAGGGAAGGAGACGCCCAAGGUGAGACCAGUAAGGAGGGCUAAGUCGUAACAAGGUAACCGUACCGGAAGGUGCGGUUGGAUCACCUCCUUUCUAAGGAG
rnacentral:rRNA from 1 species